UACGUAGGGUGCAAGCGUUAAUCGGAAUUACUGGGCGUAAAGCGUGCGCAGGCGGUUUUGUAAGCCAGGUGUGAAAUCCCCGGGCUCAACCUGGGAAUGGCAUUUGGGACUGCAAGGCUGGAGUGCGGCAGAGGAGACUGGAAUUCCUGGUGUAGCAGUGAAAUGCGUAGAUAUCAGGAGGAACACCGAUGGCGAAGGCAGGUCUCUGGGCUGACACUGACGCUCAUGCACGAAAGCGUGGGGAGCAAACAGG
rnacentral:rRNA from 1 species